rnacentral:lncRNA from 10 species
GGAGAGCCUUGGAAGCAGUGAAGGGGAAGCCAGAUGGCUACCCAUCAAAUAAGAGAACCCAUUGCAGAACCAGAAGGGACAUCAUCCAAGCUGUCUGAAAUCCCGGUUGGUACUCCAGGCUUCAACAACUGCAGCACAAUGAGAGACAGCAAAGAACAUCCUGGCCUUUGACAACCCCCUGUCUUCUAACAUACUGAGGUUAAUCAGACCGAGGACAAUUUGGAAGGGGCUCUCUGCCACAACUUGGGGAGUGGAGGUAGGGAAGGCCAUAGGAGCCCCAGCAGGUAGGCCACAUAGCCUGAGUUAUGGAAUCUAACUCCAGUCUGUCUUCCAAAUAUUUCUGGGGUGUCAGAUCUAUGGUAGCCUGAGAGGCAUAUUCUGAAGCCAUUUCCCUCCUAGAGAUCUCGGACUUCUUUCAGCUUCUUGAUGUUAUUACACUAAGAGAAUAUGAACACCUCCUUACAGCAAAUGCUGUAGUUAUAAAACAGUUCACCAAAGAACCUAUGUUUCCUUGAAAACCAAAAGACAAUGCAAAAAGAAAAAUCAUUUUAAAAAAGAUCUUCAAAAAAGGCUUGAUAAUUGCAUAAUUUAAAGGACCCCAGGGAAGUCUCAAUGCUACAUAGGUCCUGGGAGAAGGCACCUGAACUACAUGCCUUGGUGAACUGCAU